rnacentral:rRNA from 1 species
GAUGAACGCUGGCGGCGUGCCUAAUACAUGCAAGUCGAGCGAACAGACGAGGAGCUUGCUCCUCUGACGUUAGCGGCGGACGGGUGAGUAACACGUGGAUAACCUACCUAUAAGACUGGGAUAACUUCGGGAAACCGGAGCUAAUACCGGAUAAUAUAUUGAACCGCAUGGUUCAAUAGUGAAAGACGGUUUUGCUGUCACUUAUAGAUGGAUCCGCGCCGCAUUAGCUAGUUGGUAAGGUAACGGCUUACCAAGGCAACGAUGCGUAGCCGACCUGAGAGGGUGGAGGGCCACAGUGGAGCUGAGACCGGGUCCAGACUCCUACGGGGGGAAGCAGUAGGGAAUCUUCCGCAAUGGGCGAAAGCCUGACGGAGCAACGCGGCGUGAGUGAUGAAGGUCUUCGGAUCGUAAAACUCUGUUAUUAGGGAAGAACAAAUGUGUAAGUACCUAUGCACGUCUUGACGGUACCUAAUCAGAAAGCCACGGCUAACUACGUG